UUACGGCUAUAUUAUGUUUGAACUACCGGUUCCCCUACGAACAUCGAAGUUAAGCAACUUCGAGCCUGGUCAGUACCUAGACGCGUAACCGCCUGAGAAUACCAGAUGUAGUA